GAUGUUUUUUCUCAGUCACCCGGGGGGAACGCAUAUCUGUAUCGCAAUAAUUAUUGGGAUUUUGACCUACCAGUGUCGAUCAUGGGAAUUACAGAUAUGCGUUCUUUCCGAAUGACUAAGGGAAUGUC
rnacentral:pre_miRNA from 1 species